rnacentral:rRNA from 1 species
GACGAACGCUGGCGGCGUGCUUAACACAUGCAAGUCGAGCGGUAAGGCCUUUCGGGUACACGAGCGGCGAACGGGUGAGUAACACGUGGGUGACCUGCCCUCCACUUCGGGAUAAGCCUGGGAAACUGGGUCUAAUACGGGAUGGGACCAUUCCAUGCAUGUGGGGUGGUGGAAAGUCGGUGCUGUUGUGGUGCUGGCGGUGGGGAGUGGGCCG